UUUAGUUAUGCAGCGAAAACGCUGAAGUCGGAGUGAUAAAACAUACGAGGGGAACGACAGCGAAGACAAGGUUCUCCAGAUCGAUUACUCUUGCUGUCCUGUGAACAGCAUUUUGUCUAUCGUGUAAUUUCAAAGACGAAACCAAAAGCGGAUCAAAUAUCAAUGUCCCCUUAUCGAUAUGUGGUUUGUGGGGAUUUUCCUUCUUCUAUAAAGCUAUUGUGUUUCAGAAUGACCUGCUUUGGAGGGCAGAGCUGGACCUUGCUUCCCCGCCUCUGAGCCCGCCCUCAACACACACCUGUGGCUCGUCUGGCUUCUCAUCACACGUAUUAUCCCUGGCAGACUACUUAUGACAGCAGAAGGCUGCUUCCUCACUGGAUCGUCACACUACCUAGUGUCAGUGUAGCCUAGCCCUUUGAGUAUUCUUUGUGAUUUCCUAGAGCUUCGUCCUAACGUUGUUUUCCCUCUGUGUACAGGCCUUCUGGGUUCCCUGCCCGUCUUCCCUGCUGUCUGGAUUCCUGUGGAUGUGUGUGAGUGAGCAUGAGCAUUCUGGAUUGGACUAUCUGAGUGAGUUGUGGAUUGAGUAGAAGAGGAAUGUGUGUGCGCCUGCCUUGGACCUUCCCUCCCCUUCGGACCCCCUGGAGUCCUGUGUUAUCCGUCUCACUGUAUAUAUGUAUAUAUCCCCACUUGGUGCCUCAUUGUAAAUAAAUCCUUCACCUUCUCUCUAAACUUCAGAGUCCUGCGAGUGAGUCCUCAGCCUAAUAAUCUGUGACAGAUACUAAGAAAUUAAAACAAAAA